GGUAACAAGUAAUGCAGGGCCUUGAUGUUGUGGUGAGCCGUCUUCUACCCUGACCCAGCCAUGGGCAUCAGGCUCCUCAGCUGGGCAGUGCUCUGUCUCCUGGGGUCCGUACUGUCUGAGGUGGGAGUCACUCAGUCUCCCAGACAUGCCAUCAUACAAGAAAGGCAAGAAGUUUCCUUUUGGUGUGACCCUGUUUCUGGACAUGCUACCCUUUACUGGUAUCAGCAGCUCAGAGACCAAGGUCCCCAGCUUUUAGUUUACUUUCAGAAUGAGGCUGUUAUGGAUGAUUCGAAGUUGCCCAAGGAUCGUUUUUCUGCAGCAAGGACUAGAGGAGUCAACUCCACUCUGAAGAUCCAGUCUGCAGAGCAGAGCGACUCAGCCACGUAUCUCUGUGCCAGCAGCUUAAACCACACCAGUGCGGAGACACCUCCCCGCUGCGCACAAAGCUUUCUUCAAAGCCAGCUUUCAGCGGAGACCACUGCUUACUCCAUGUACUUCAUAGACCCAGCGGGUCUUUCGCCAUAG